CAGACCCCGGAAAAAUAAAGAAGUAACGUGCGGCGGCUCAGUUGUGUGUCCUUGCGAAAAAUCAAACAUGCCAACUUCUCCUGUUAAAACGCGGAUCCCCCUAACUAGUUUUGGGCACCUGAUAUCCGAAGUGAAGAGACAGCUGUUUGGUAUAGAGGCUCCUGCAACUGUUGAUCUGACUGGAUGGAGGAGACACUUCAACACUUAUACACUACAGGGGCGCCGCAAUUUUGUUCUGGUGACGUAUGCUGCACUGGCUGUGGGAGCUGCAGCUUACGCUGUGAACCGUAGAAACAAACAGACACAGGAAGUAGCAGAGAGUAGCACUUCCUCCCAGGCCUGAAGGACCCUUCACACACACGCGCGCACACGCACACGCACACGCACACACACACAUAGAGUAGCACUUCCUGCCAGGCCUGAAGGACCCUUCACUCUAACACUCACACUCACACACACACACACACACACACAACACACAUAAGCCAGAUGUAACUGUUUAUUGAAUUAUGUAUUAAUAAAUACCUCAACUGUGA